rnacentral:rRNA from 1 species
UACGGGGGGUGCUAGCGUUAUUCGGAAUCAUUGGGCGUAAAGGGCGCGUAGGCGGUCUUUUAAGUCAGAUGUGAAAGCCCUCGGCUUAACCGAGGAAGUGCAUUUGAUACUAAGAGACUUGAGUAUGGGAGAGGGAAGCGGAAUUCCUGGUGUAGCGGUGAAAUGCGUAGAUAUCAGGAGGAACACCGGUGGCGAAGGCGGCUUCCGGGACCAAUAAUGACGUUGAGGCGCGAAGGCGUGGGGAGCAAACAGG